rnacentral:rRNA from 1 species
CCUACGGGCGGCUGCAGUGGGGAAUAUUGGGCAAUGGGCGCAAGCCUGACCCAGCAACGCCGCGUGAAGGAAGAAGGCUUUCGGGUUGUAACCUUCUUUUCUCAGGGACGAAGCAAGUGACGGUACCUGAGGAAUAAGCCACGGCUAACUACGUGCCAGCAGCCGCGGUAAUACGUAGGUGGCAAGCGUUAUCCGGAUUUACUGGGUGUAAAGGGCGUGUAGGCGGGACUGCAAGUCAGAUGUGAAAACCACGGGCUCAACCGGUGGCCUGCAUUUGAAACUGUAGUUCUUGAGUACUGGAGAGGCAGACGGAAUUCCUAGUGUAGCGGUGAAAUGCGUAGAUAUUAGGAGGAACACCGGUGGCGAAGGCGGCUUACUGGACUGUAACUGACGUUGAGGCUCGAAGGCGUGGGGAGCAAACAGGAUUAGAUACCCCAGUAGUC